rnacentral:rRNA from 1 species
UCGUAGUUGGAUUUCGGAAGGUCCUUAGCAGUCCGCCCCUUCGGGGAGCGGGUUGCUGGCCUCCUAUGUUCCUAACGGUCCUCAUCCGCGAGGGUGGGGAAUCAACCGCUAGGAUCGUUUACUUUGAGGAAAUUAGAGUGUUCAAAGCAGGCGUAACUCGCCUCCGAAUACGUUAGCAUGGGAUAAUGGAAUACGACUUCGGUCUUGUUUCGUUGGUUUCGCUUGGCUGAAGUAAUGAUUGAUAGGGACAGUUGGGGGCAUUAGUAUUUAGUUGUCAGAGGUGAAAUUCUAGGAUUUACUAAAGACUGACCAAUGCGAAAGCAUUUGCCAAGGAUGUUUUCAUUAAUCAAGAACGAAAGUAGGGGGAUCGAAGACGAUCAGAUACCGUCGUAGUCUCUACCGUAAACUAUGCCGACCAGGGAUCCGGAGAGUUUGCAUGGAUGACUCCCCGGGCACCUUGUGAGAAAUCAUAAGUGUUUGGGUUUUGGGGGGGAGUAUGGUCGCAAGGCUGAAACUUAAAGGAAUUGACGGAAGGGCACCACCAGGAGUGGAACCUGCGGCUUAAUUUGACUCAACACGGGGAAACUUACGAGGUCAGGACACUGUGAGGAUUGACAGAUUGAAAGCUCUUUCUUGAUUCAGUGGGUGGUGGUGCAUGGCCGUUCUUAGUUGGUGGAGUGAUUUGUCUGGUUAAUUCCGUUAACGAACGAACCCUUUACCCGGGAAGGGACAAAUUCAAUCCCCCAACUAACAACGGCCAUGCACCACCACCCACUGAAAUCAAGAAAGAGCUU